GGCCAGCCUAGUUGCCUUUUCUGGUGGGUACAGGGCCUGUGGUUGGUGUUGUCAAACUUGGGGUCUAUCCUGAGCCUCCCCAGGUAUCUGCAAAUGAUUGCAUGCUAGACAAUAAAUCUGUCGGGUCUGAGCAGUGAUGUCCUGGCUCCUUACAGAGUCAGAAUCUGCAAGACAGAAAGCCACCCAGGCCUACAAGACUUGCUUGUCCUUCACUAAAUGUACAGAUUCUAUUAAAAAACAAAGAUUGUCUUGCAGAGGUGAGUGUUUAGUUUGGAGACAACACAUUCCCUUAUUGGAGCCCUUGCCAAGUAACUUUCUGACUCCAGAGAGCCAGAAGCAAAGGAUGCACUGGCCAAGGACUGGGAGUGUAGGACCCUCUGCAGCUCUGUUCUUUCUACCAAGUCUGGCUCUGUCACCCCGGCUGUAGUGCAGUGGCCCAAUCUCAGCUCACUGAAACCUCUGCCUCCUGGGUUCAAGUGAUUCUCAUGUCUCAGCCUCCAGAGUAGUUGGGUCUACAGGCUCAAGUGAUCCACCGCCUCAGCCUCCGGAAGUGCUGGGAUUACAGGUGUGAGCCAACACUGCCAGCCACAGCUGUAUUACUUUCUGAUCCAAGCAGAUUGACAAAGUUAAAGCUGUCCUUAGGUAAAGACCCUUGUUUUUUCUGUUUGGCAGUUCUGAUGAUAGAAAAACGAAACAACCAAACAAACUUUUGUA